GUGUGUAUGUUCCACAUCUUUAUCCAUUCAUGUACUGAUGGACAUUUAGGUUGCUUCCAUAUCACUUUCCAUUUUUAAUGACAUCCCUUAACUCUUACUGCCUAAAUCACAUUUGCUGAGUUUAUUUUACUUCCCUCGUUCCAUCCCAUUGUCCUCCCAUUUGUAGUUACAUUAUUUUUAUUUCACUGGAACAUAUGGAGCAUUAUUAUACAACAUUCUUCUACCCUUGUCCCCACCUUAGUUUUAAUCUUAGAUUUCCAAUGAAGUAUAUUAAAACUAAAUUGCUUAAGUUUUCCCAGUCUCUUUUGUUUGGAUAAAGUUCAUUUUCUAGUAGAUUUCUGAAAAAAUGACUCAUGGAAAGAAUUCUUUGAGCUCUUGUUGUGUAAAUUAUUUCUGUGGUUUUCAUACUUAAAGGAACAUGGUGUAGGAUUAUGGCUUUCUCAGGGAUUUUGCCCUUCUUCCUUGUGUCAUCAAAACUCUUCAUUGUAGCUUUGGUGAAUCUUUUUUGGGAGAGUUUCUUGCUCUUCCCCAAGUUAGGAGAUCUACUUAAUAGUCUGGGUACAGGAUGACCCUCCCCAGGGAUACAGAGAUUUUUUUUGUUGUUACUGUUUCAUUUUGUUUCUCCUUUUCCUCUUACCCAAGGACAUGGGUUUUUUACCUGUGCCUUGUUGACAGUGUUUGAUGACCUUAUAAUGGCUCAAGGCUUUCUCAUUAGGGAGGGAGGAUCCUGGUGGAUGUCUGUGCCUUUCCUGCAGCAGUAGCCCCUCCUCUUUGAGGCUUGCACCAUCAAAGACAGUUUUAUCUCUGCUUUGUACUUCUCUCUCCUGGGCACCCAGUGUAGGCCCGCUGAACUCUCAGACCCUGUAAAGUUCUUUGCAUCCCUCUAGUCUAUGUGCCUCUGGUACUUUUUAUAGGUUUAUAUUUAUCUUUAGCCUUUAAUCUCCCUAGAGUUUACCCCUGUGUAUUCUGGCAGAGAUUGGCAAACUCUUUUAACCAAUUAUUACACAACUAGUUUACAUCUCUCAGCUUCUUUUUGGGGUAGGUUGGGGUCAUGUGACUUAAUAAUUGCUUAGUGAAAUAUGGAUGAACAUUAUGUAAACCAUUUCCUGGUCCAAUCCAUAAAAUUCUCUUCUAUCCUUCACUCCUUUUUCCCUCAGCUGGAUGUCAAUUCCCAGGGAGACAUUAGAAGACCCCCUUCUUAAGAUGAAGGAACAGUCCUCAGCCUUGGAGCCUAGAUAACAGAAUCAUAGUCAUCUACCCUUUCCUCCACUUAAGCUAGUUGAGCUAAAGUUACCAAACAUCUAUUGUGUUAAAUCAAUAGAAUUUGGGUUUUUGUGUUUUAUUUUUUUUGAUAGAACAGUUGUCAUUACACUGGUGCAGGAAUUAGUGCUAGAGGAAGGGUGCUACUAAAACAAAUCCAAAAUGCAUAGCAUUGGUCCAGCAGACAGUCAAGAUGAAAACUAAUAUCCAAAGUUGUAAAUGAGAUUUGUGUCAUGAAGUGACAAAACAAUUUUUAAGAUGGUCCUUUGCAAUUAUGAAUGUGGACCACAUGCUUAAUGACCCAUGCUCUAGGGAAAUAAUGGAAAGUAGAAUGUUGGUAAUGUUGUUACUGUCUAUGCUUGUCAGUAAAGGUGAUAGAAAAAAAGAGAUGGGCUAGAGCAAUAAUUUCUUUGCAAGUAGAAAAAAUUAAAAAGAUGGAAAAGCCACUGCUUCCAGCCUCAAAUGUAAGACAUUAUACAUUCAAAGGGCUACUAAGACUUCUGGGUCCAGCACAAACCUGACUAAAGGUGUGACAUUUCCUCCCAAACAUGAUAGCUUUAAGGUAUGAGGGCAAAGGAAGGAAAGAUAUAAGGCAGGCUUGAUAAUUAUAUUUAGGAAAGAACUUUGAGAGAUCCUACUAGUAUAUAUAACUAUACUUUUCCCUUAAAAACAAAUCUGCUUAUUUGUAAUGCCAAACAAAUUGCAGAAAUGGAAUCCAGCAGCCUUUAUGUAUUCCAUCAUUAAAAGUAUUUUGGGGCUCCCAAACUUAGUCAGGGAAGAUAUGGCUGCAGAAAUUGUAAAGCCUCUCAAAGAGGGCACAAUCCCCAGUAUUUCAAAUGUAAUAGUAGGCAAAAGAGAACCUGCAAACGGUAGAUCCUAGAGCUGUGAAGAAUGUUGGAUCCAAGUAGUUCCUUCCUGAUAGCAAAGUGGAAAUCAAGGAGAUGUUCCUACUGCCAGAUCAGAAGGACCUCAAAAUACCUAUCAAAACUGGUAUAUAUAGACCCGUAUCUUUUGUGUGUCUCCUAUGUUCCCUUUGCCAUGGAAGUUUUUAUGGAAAAUCACCUACUCUAUCUUCACCAUAGUAUGUUGGAACUGGUGACAAUUAGAGAGAUGUCUAUAACUUGUUAGAUCAUUCGGAGAUCUCAGACUUUGAGCUGGUUGCAAUAACUAGAUGGAAUUUUGGAUUGUCUCCCUUGGGUCAGGAGGGAGUGUGCUAAAGGUUUGGUAGGAUACUUGGUAACCAGCAAGACAAGACUGUAUUAGAAACUGGCUAUGCAAUCACUGAGUCUAUUUCUUCUUUUCCUUAGGUACCUGGCUAAAAUUUCUCAACAUCCUUGAAGUUAGGCAAAUGCUGGCCAAUGGAAUAUGGCUAGAUGUUGACAUCCUGGACAGCACUGCAAGAUAGAUUUGAAAAAUGGCGAAGUUUCUGUCAGCCAAGGCCCUGCAUGACUGUUUGGAGCAGAUCUUGCUAACCCUAUCCUGUCAUAUAUUAAACUUUCCAUGAGCAAGAAAUAAUGGUGCUGUAGUUCAUCUUUUCACAUAAGGAAAGAACAAGAAGAAAUGGCUCAAAUUACAGAAAGUUGAAGGGCACACAUCAGGAUUUCCUGGCAGUCAACACCUGGACAAAUUACCAAGGCAAAUUAUAGAAUUGCCUUAUGAGAAGAUCUUUAAAUUUAGGACUGAACAGGCAACUCUCCUGGGUUCAAUGUAGGCCUUGUAGAAGAUGGAGAGCCACCAGAAAAAUGAAAAAGCAACUCAAAAGUACCCAGGAGGCCCAUCUACUUACUGGUGACAGCUGUGCCAUUCCCAGGAGUAUCUUGGUCGGCUUGGUAAGAAAUCUGAUGUCCCUUGGUUUUUCACUCUUUGAGGGAAUCUUAGCAGCACCCUGUGAUCAUAGUCUCUUGCCCUGUAUGCUGAGCUGUGAUUUUCAAAAAAGGAAGAUGAUUAUUUUCACAAAAUGUUAACUAGAAACAAAACUAUAACCAAAACCUUCCCAUUUUAUAACAGUGACUACCCCUUGCUCCUAACUAGACUAUCAGUUCCAAGAGACAUUUUGCUUAUUUUGUUUACUGCUGAAACCCUAGUGCUAGGACAGUGCCCGGCAGGUCAGUCAGAGCUCAGUGAAUAUUUGUUCAGUGGGUGAAUGAAUAACAGCUAUAGACAUCUGCAGUUAAAAAUUUUUUUAAAAACAUAAUAAAAUUAGCAUUAAAACUUUGUAUAAUAAUCAAUUCCAGUCUAACCAUAUGACUGAGUGAAACUGAGAUGGAAAUUAUCCCAAAUAAAAAAAUCAUAUUUGCUUAAGAAUUUAACAACAUACUUCUUAAACAGUUAGCUAAGAUGUAGAGUAGGGAAAUAACUCUAAAAGUAUACACCCAGAUUAGAUUUUGUAACUUCACUAUCUUCAAAACAAGGGCAUUAGUAUCAUAGGAGUGGAGUGCAAGGGUGUGAGUGAUGCAAGACUCAAGAAUGGAAAUGAUGAGCUUGGAUUCUGCUCUUCCUUCAGCCUAUCUAUUCUAAAGGGUCAAAGCGGAAGAAAUAUAAAUAAAUUGU